CCUACUCAAACUCUUGUGUUUGGGCUGUAAAGAAGCCCACACAUCCUGGCGGUCAUAGUAGCCACCUUAAAGACUGAGGCCAACAGCCUUGAAUCACCUUUACUUGUUACAAGUGCUUAGCAACUCCUGCCCCAUUUGUGUGCUGUGUUUCCUACAAGUUAUUAUCCAUGUUUGUCCUUAAAUAAAUGGUUAGCUGCUUUGCCAGUAUGCUAAGUUUAUAAUCCAGAUUUGUUAUGUUACUCAUUCAAGCCAUAGAAUCACGGUAUUGGAGAAUGGCUUAAGUCUGAAGGUACCUUAAGGAUCACCCAGUCCCAAACCCCUGCCCUGGGCUGGUUGCCCCCCAUCAGAUCAGACUGUCCAGAGCCCCAUCCAGCCUGGACUUGAGUGCCUCCAGGGAUGGGAAAGCAUGCAAGGCAACCUUAAACAUUAGAGAAACUAAUUCAAGCAUUUUCAAAGUUGCUCAGCCUGCACACCUGGAACAUUGUGCAGAGGUGUCUUGCACAGGCCUUCAUUAGAACUUUGACGAUGUUGGAUCCAUCUCUGAAAAUUCUGGGGAAAAAAAAAAAAGUGGUUUAUUUUCUAUGUUUUAAUGAGAUACAACAGGAAACAAUGGACACAGAAUGGGCACAGAAUGCAGCAAAAUGCAGGUGGUGAGGUUUAAUUACAGUACUGGAAAUGCUAAGUCACAGCCUGAACCAGUGACUGAGCAUCUGGUGAGAAGACAGGCCCAACCCAGAAAAGCCCAGGUGCAUGGAAUGUACCUGAAUGACUGGAAGGAGUAGAGCCAGGAUCCACCCCUUCCCAGACCUCAUUUAAGUGUUGGCAGUGGAGGUAAGGACAUCUCUUGCUGGAGCUUCCUGCCUAACUGAGGCCCUUCAGAGUUCUUCCCUCCCUCCCUUUCUCUGCAGCUCUUGUAGUUGGGCUUGUUCUCAUUUGCUAUUGCUAAAGACUCUGCCACUCCAGUCUUAUUAAAGCACUUUCCAUCCCACUAUUGCAUUGCAUUGCUUGGUGUUUUUUUUCCUGGGUGCUUGUACCUGCACUGGAAAAGACUUAAGAAGCAGUGCAGUCUGCCUGCUUGUAUUUUUACCAGCUCUCAAGAGACUUAUAUGUGCAUUCUACACAGAAAACAUCUUUACCUGUUAUGCAGAGGACUGUCACUGCCACUAACAUGACAGUUGUGCUCCAGCUACCUGUGUCUACAUUAGCAUCAACAGCAGUCUUACUGUAUCAUCCUAAAUUGGCUAUAAGUGACAUAUAAUAAUUUAGCUUUUCUCUGGCUAUGAGCUCUGCAGUCUGGUAACUGCUGGAUAUGGCACAUGAUACAGGCUUAGUCUGAGAGGUUACAAGACUGAAAGCCAGAGCAGAUAUUCCAUCUUGUAACAUAAUAAUGGGUCUCCGGUGUUUCAGGUCUAGUCUUUGAUUUCUAAAGUACCUCUUCAAAUCAGGAAAUGUGACAAAUUCUUACUUAACUAGAUUCUCCUGACUGGCAAUUAUGCCUGAUAAGCCUCUUGAGUAUGCAGUGUAGGAAAAUAAAUGUAUCUAUGUUUCUACUGUAAUAAUCCCC
rnacentral:lncRNA from 1 species